rnacentral:rRNA from 1 species
AUUGAACGCUGGCGGCAUGCCUUACACAUGCAAGUCGAACGGCAGCACGGGUGCUUGCACCUGGUGGCGAGUGGCGAACGGGUGAGUAAUAUAUCGGAACGUACCUUAUUGUGGGGGAUAACGCAGCGAAAGCUGUGCUAAUACCGCAUAAUCCCUAAGGGGGAAAGCGGGGGACCGUAAGGCCUCGCGCCAUUAGAGCGGCCGAUACCUGAUUAGCCAGUUGGUGAGGUAAAGGCUCACCAAGGCAACGAUCAGUAGCUGGUCUGAGAGGACGAUCAGCCACACUGGGACUGAGACACGGCGCAGACUCCUACGGGAGGCAGCAGUGGGGAAUUUUGGACAAUGGGGGAAACCCUGAUCCAGCAAUGCCGCGUGAGUGAAGAAGGCCUUCGGGUUGUAAAGCUCUUUUGUCAGGGAAGAAACAGCAGCUCUAACACAGUAUGCGAAUGACGGUACCUGAAGAAUAAGCACCGGCUAACUACGUGCCAGCCGCCGCGGUAA